CCCGGGCUCAAGCAAUCCUCCUGGUUCAGCCUCCCUGGUAACAGAGACUACAGAAACAACAACAACAAAAAACAAACUUCAUCAAAAUUAAACUUUUGGCUUCAAAGAACAUUAUCAAGAAAGUGAGAUUACAACCCAAGGAAUAUGACACUAUAUUUGCAAAUAAUAUAUCUGGCAGAAACAUCUUGUGAUUACUGAGUAGGAGGAUGGGAGAUUGGGACUGUCAGAAGCCAUCUUAUCAGCCUUAUGGAGAGAGCCUGCAUCC